rnacentral:rRNA from 1 species
AGCCUUUAGCUCACCAAGUAUUAAAGGUCCUGCCUGCCCAGUGAAACUUUUAACGGCCGCGGUAUCCUAACCGUGCAAAGGUAGCGUAAUCACUUGUCUUCUAAAUAAAGACUCGUAUGAACGGCUAAAUGAGGACCUAACUGUCUCUUACGACCAAUUAAUGAAACUGAUCUUUCAGUCCAAAAGCUGAAAUAUAAACAUAAGACGAGAAGACCCUGUGGAGCUUUAACCAAGAUACUAUACCCGCCACAUAUAUCUACACCUGUAAUAGUACCUCGUUUAAGUUGGGGCAACUAUGGAAAAAGAAAAACUUCCACAUUACCCUAGGGCAAACCCCCCUACCCCCCAGACCCACCUGUCAAACACUAAGCACAUCGACCCAGUCCCACUGAUCAAUGAACCAAGUUACCCCAGGGAUAACAGCGCAAUCCCCUUUCAGAGUCCCUAUCGCCAAGGGGGCUUACGACCUCGAUGUUGGAUCAGGACACCCAAAUAGUGCAACAGCUAUUAAUGGUUCGUUUGUUCAACGAUUAACAGUCCU